AGUGAACGCUGGCGGCGUGCCUAAUACAUGCAAGUCGAACGAAGUGGCGCACGGGUGAGUAAUAUAUAGUUAUUCUGCCCUACCCCGAGGAACAACAGUUGGAAACGACUGCUAUUACCCCAUAGUGUAGGAUGAGACUAUAUCGUAUCAGCUAGUUGUUAAUGUAAUGGUUUACCACGGCUAUGACGAGUAACUGGUCUGAGAUGAUGAUCAGUCGCAUUGGAACUGAGACACGGUACGAAGUCGUACGGGAGGCAGCAGUAAGGAAGAUUGCGCAAUGGGGGGAACCCGGACGAAGCAACGCCGCGUGGAGGAUGAAACUGGUCGGAGCGUAAACUCCUUGUAUCAGGAAAGCGGUACCUGAUGAAGAAGCACCGGCUAACUCCGUGCCAGCAGCCGCGGUAAUAC
rnacentral:rRNA from 1 species